GUACAAGGUUCUAUCCUUACUUUAAGGAUUGUGUCGGAGCUAUAGAUGGCACGCAUAUUCCUGCAACGGUAGUUGGACGUGAGGUAAGCAGAUAUCGAAAUCGCCAUGGGAAGAUAUCACAAAAUGUAUUAGCAGCUUGUAACUUUGAUUUACAGUUCAUAUAUGUGAUUAGUGGAUGGGAGGGUUCCGCUCAUGAUUCAAAAGUGUUGAAUGAUGCGAUUUCUAGACGAAAUGGACUCAAAGUGCCACCAGGUAAAUAUUACUUAGGGGACUGCGGAUUCCCAA